GGGCUAGGGGGUCUGGUUUUAUAGUCCCCUCAAGUGAACCUGGGCCGUCGGAUCAAACCGACAUUGAUUGAACGGUUAUUCUUGAUCCUUUAGGUCGGUGGAGCAUAAUCCGCGAGAUUGAGCGUGAUUGGCCGAAAAAGGUGAGCGGGCGCCCUAAGGACAUGGGCGAGCGCCCUGUCCCUGACUCCGUUCGGUCUCCGCUUCCUUCCCGUGGCUUCUGGAGUCUUCUAGAUGUAAGAUAAUUGCGCGGCACGUUGAUAUCUCUAUGUAAUCCCGACAUGUGGGCCUUUCUUCCUUAUUUCCUGAUAACCCCCUGCAGAAAUAGACAAACACCAAAACUCGUGGAAUUCUGUCAGAUAAAUCCCUAAGUCUGG
rnacentral:lncRNA from 1 species